rnacentral:rRNA from 1 species
AGAGCGAACGCUGGCGGCAGGCCUAACACAUGCAAGUCGAGCGCCCCGCAAGGGGAGCGGCAGACGGGAGAGUAACACGUGGGAACGUACCCUUCAGUUCGGAACAACCCAGGGAAACUUGGGCUAAUACCGGAUACGUCCGUAAGGAGAAAGAUUUAUCGCUGAAGGAUCGGCCCGCGUCUGAUUAGCUAGUUGGUGAGGUAACGGCUCACCAAGGCGACGAUCAGUAGCUGGUCUGAGAGGAUGAUCAGCCUCACUGGGACUGAGACACGGCCCAGACUCCUACGGGAGGCAGCAGUGGGGAAUAUUGGACAAUGGGCGCAAGCCUGAUCCAGCCAUGCCGCGUGGAUGAUGAAGGCCUUAGGGUUGUAAAGUCCUUUCGGCGGGGAAGAUAAUGACUGUACCCGCAGAAGAAGCCCGGCUAACUUCGCGCCAGCAGCCGC